GGGACUACAAAAAGGCAUUGUAAGGUUUGGGACACGGACAGGUUUCCUUGCUCCUCACCUUGCAGACGACCUAUUGUGGGACUUCACCUUGUGAUCGUAGCCAUGAAUACGGAUCCAAAGCAUCUGAGUAACCGAGCCGCCAUCAAGGAGACUAUUGUAGCUGGAGGCGUUGGUAGGAAGACGACUAAAGGGCUACAUCAUGUCAAACCCUCAAGUAGGAAUUAUUGCCUUUCUUGCCUCAGUUCCCAGCUGUAUUAUGUCACCAAAUCACAUCACAGUGUAAUCAAAGAUGAAUAAAAUAUUUUUUUCUUUACCUUAAAU
rnacentral:lncRNA from 10 species